rnacentral:misc_RNA from 1 species
GUCGUUAAACGUUGUACUUCUUAAGUUAGAUAGGUUAGGGUUAUUUUUUUUUUUUUUUUUUUGUUAAACGAAACUGUCGUUAAACGUACUUUUUAAGUUAGAUAGGUUAGGGUUAUUUUUUUUUUUUUUUUUUGUUAAACGAAACUGUCGUUAAACGUACUUCUUAAGUUAGAUAGGUUAGGGUUAUUUUUUUUUUUUUUGUUAAACGAAACUGUCGUUAAACGUACUUCUUAAGUUAGAUAGGUUAGGGUUAUUUUUUUUUUUUUUUUUUGUUAAACGAAACUGUCGUUAAACGUACUUCUUAAGUUAGAUAGGUUAGGGUUAUUUUUUUUUUUUUUUUGUUAAACGAAACUGUCGUUAAACGUACUUCUUAAGUUAAAUAGGUUAGGGUUAUUUUUUUUUUUUUUUUUUUUUUUUUGUUAAACGAAACUGUCGUUAAACGUACUUCUUAAGUUAGAUAGGUUAGGGUUAUUUUUUUUUUUUUUUGUUAAACGAAACUGUCGUUAAACGUACUUCUUAAGUUAGAUAGGUUAGGGUUAUUUUUUUUUUUUUUUUUUGUUAAACGAAACUGUCGUUAAACGUACUUCUUAAGUUAGAUAGGUUAGGGUUAUUUUUUUUUUUUUUUGUUAAACGAAACUGUCGUUAAACGUACUUCUUAAGUUAGAUAGGUUAGGGUUAUUUUUUUUUUUUUUUUUUUGUUAAACGAAACUGUCGUUAAACGUACUUCUUAAGUUAGAUAGGUUAGGGUUAUUUUUUUUUUUUUUUGUUAAACGAAACUGUCGUUAAACGUACUUCUUAAGUUAGAUAGGUUAGGGUUAUUUUUUUUUUUUUUUUGUUAAACGAAACUGUCGUUAAACGUACUUCUUAAGUUAGAUAGGUUAGGGUUUUUUUUUUUUUUUUUUUGUUAAACGAAACUGUCGAUAAAUGUUUAAUUAAUUUUAUAUAUAAUAUAUAAAGUAUAGCAAUUAAUUUUAUAUACAAUAU